GGGGGUAUAGCUCAGCUGGGAGAGCGCUUGCAUGGCAUGCAAGAGGUCAUGGGUUCGAAUCCCACUAUCUCCA
rnacentral:tRNA from 1 species